AAAAGAUCAUACACUGUUCAGCACACUAGUCCAUGUCUUGGAAGACUUGAUUUUUAACUAAAACUGCCACCUGAUGGACAUUUCACCUAAACAAUACUUCCAGCUUCACCACUCCUUCCAGUCCUCCAGUCCUUAAAAUUUUGAGUCACCUGUCAAGUGGCUGUGAUUAUGCAUGCAUGACUGGGCCAGGCCCAUGCAAAUCCUCGGGGCACUUUCACAGAGGGCUCGCUGACCUGUUUCCUGCUUUCAUCCUGCCUCUAUGUACCAAUCGCAAAUGGCUAGGAACUAAAUCAACAGCACAUUAAAGGCGGCGGGCGUGGAGGAGAGGGGCAACAUGGCUAAAAAAUUCCCCUCCCAACCCUGCCGUAAACAGCUUGGUAUGUUCACGCAGAGCUGAACACAUUCACCAAUUCCUGAACAGUACUGUCUCUUAUG